AAUAACUCCAGAGAGCUGCUAUUGUUGUUGGAGUUCUGUUGAUCUUGCAUACCAGCCACGCCCCCACUAUUGCAGUUAUGAGGAGCCCACUCCCAAAUUGCAAAAUGGCUAGCUGGAGGAGGUGUAGAGAUCUGAAGGUUGUCUAGCGCUGCAGGAGUAGGUGGUCAGUCCCAGUUCUCUGUAGCUACCCUGGAUGUGGACGGCAUGGCUGGUCGCAAUGAGGAGAGGAUGAGACGAUUGGACGCUAUACUCAACGCUGGGACCCACACUGGCAGUAGUCGAGGCGUGGGAGGACACAGUGGAGUGGGCGGACCCAGUAGAAGUGUGAGGGGAGUGGAGCCGGGGGAGGACUCGGAAUCAAUCAUCAGUAAUUUCCUCAAUCGUAGGGGACCGGGACGACCAUCACUGACACGAGGCUCAGAGAUGAGUCUGGAGUGUGAGACUGCCUACCAGAGACUGGGAACUCCAAGCAAUUAACAUAAUUAUGUACAAUAAUUUAUGUAUGUUAUAUCUUUCAAAUUAAUGGUCGCUCAUUGAAUAAAAAUUCUCAUUGAUUAUGUCAAAUUAA